rnacentral:rRNA from 1 species
GUAGGUGGCAAGCGUUGUCCGGAUUUAUUGGGCGUAAAGGGCGCGCAGGCGGUCCGUUAAGUCCGAGGUGAAAUCUCCUGGCUCAACUGGGAGGGGUCUUCGGAUACUGGCGAACUUGAGGUGAGCAGUGGUGAGCGGAUUCUGGGUGUAGUGGUGAAAUGCGUAGAUAUCCAGAGGAACACCAGUGGCGAAGGCGGCUCACUGGGCUCCACCUGACGCUGAGGCGCGAAAGCGUGGGGAGCGAACCGGAUUAGAUACCCGGGUAGUCCACGCCGUAAACGAUGGACACUAAAUGUGGGGGGGUAUUGACCCCCUCCGUGUCGCAGCUAACGCGAUAAGUGUCCCGCCUGGGGAGUACGGCCGCAAGGCUA